rnacentral:rRNA from 1 species
AGGGUUCGAUUCUGGCUCAGGAUGAACGCUGGCGGCGUGCUUAACACAUGCAAGUCGAACGAAGCAUUCCAACUCUCGGAGGAAGAAAUGACUGAGUGGCGGACGGGUGAGUAACGCGUGGGUAACCUGCCUUAUACAGGGGGAUAACAGUUAGAAAUGACUGCUAAUACCGCAUAACCCGCUAGUACCGCAUGGUACAGACGGAAAAGAUUUAUCGGUAUAAGAUGGACCCGCGUCUGAUUAGCUAGUUGGUGAGGUAAUGGCUCACCAAGGCGACGAUCAGUAGCCGGCUUGAGAGAGUGAACGGCCACAUUGGGACUGAGACACGGCCCAAACUCCUACGGGAGGCAGCAGUGGGGAAUAUUGCACAAUGGGGGAAACCCUGAUUGCAGCAACGCCGCGUGAAGGAAGAAGUAUUUCGGUAUGUAAACUUCUAUCAGCAGGAAAGAAAAUGACGGUACCUGACUAAGAAGCCCCGGCUAACUACGUGCCAGCCGCAGC